rnacentral:rRNA from 1 species
AACGUAGGGGGCGAGCGUUGUCCGGAAUUACUGGGCGUAAAGCGCGUGUAGGCGGAUUUUUAAGUCGGGUGUGAAAACUCUGGGCUCAACCCAGAGACUGCAUCCGAAACUGGGGAUCUUGAGGGUGAGAGAGGAAAGUGGAAUUCCUAGUGUAGCGGUGAAAUGCGUAGAUAUUAGGAGGAACACCAGUGGCGAAGGCGGCUUUCUGGCUCAUACCUGACGCUGAGACGCGAAAGCGUGGGGAGCAAAC